AUGGCAAACUGGUUUCCCUUGGCUCUUGAGGGCUCUGCCCGUUCGUGGCUCAUGAACUUGCCCGAGGGCUCCAUCUCUUCGUGGGAAGAGCUUUGCGAGCAGUUUGUAGCCAGCUUCAAGGGGACCUACAAGCAGCCCGCCACCAUCAGUGAUCUCCAAGCAGUCAAGCAGCGUCCUCGCGACACCCUCCGCCAGUAUGUCCAGCGUUUCAGUCAAGUGCGCAGAAGAAUCCCUCGAAUCAGUGACGCAUCCAUCAUAGCUACCUUCAUCAGAGGAGUCGCCGAUGAGAGAAUGCUGGAGAAGUGUGCCAUCCUGGGGGAUGACCUCUCAUCAGCAGUUCAACUUUUCGAGCUCGCAGACAAGUGCGCCAAAGCAGAGGAAGGCCGACUUUUCAAGCACAGCGAUCCCGACGAGGAGCCAGGGCACCAAGCUGGAGGCAUGAGGGAAAAAAGGCCUCCUCGGGGACCGCUAGUGUGGGUACGAGGCACUGGCCACCACCUAACAAGGAGCAGCAUCAAGGGCCCGCAAGGGCCACGAAGGGUGGCAUGCAUUUUAGGCGGAGCUUAG
rnacentral:rRNA from 1 species